GGCGAACGGGUGAGUAAUAUAUCGGAACGUGCCCAGUAGUGGGGGAUAGCCCGGCGAAAGCCGGAUUAAUACCGCAUACGACCUGAGGGUGAAAGCGGGGGAUCGCAAGACCUCGCGCUAUUGGAGCGGCCGAUAUCAGAUUAGCUAGUUGGUGGGGUAAAGGCCUACCAAGGCUACGAUCUGUAGUUGGUCUGAGAGGACGACCAGCCACACUGGGACUGAGACACGGCCCAGACUCCUACGGGAGGCAGCAGUGGGGAAUUUUGGACAAUGGGCGCAAGCCUGAUCCAGCAAUGCCGCGUGCAGGAAGAAGGCCUUCGGGUUGUAAACUGCUUUUGUCAGGGAAGAAAUCUUCUGGGCUAAUACCCCGGGAGGAUGACGGUACCUGAAGAAUAAGCACCGGCUAACUACGUGCCAGCAGCCGCGGUAAUACGUAGGGUGCGAGCGUUAAUCGGAAUUACUGGGCGUAAAGCGUGCGCAGGCGGCUUUGCAAGACAG
rnacentral:rRNA from 1 species